CACACUACGAUUAUUGCGUUCAC
rnacentral:siRNA from 1 species